GUACUCUGGUUUCCCUUCAUAACGUAUAAAUCUUUCGCCUUUUACUAAAGAUUUCCGUGGAGGGGAACACUCAAAUGAGUCUUUAAUAUUUUUGUAAAACCCUGCUUCGGCGGGGUA
rnacentral:snRNA from 1 species